rnacentral:tRNA from 1 species
GCGGGUGUGGCGGAAUUGGCAGACGCACUAGACUUAGGAUCUAGCGCCUUACGGCGUGGGGGGUCGAAUCCCUUCACCCGCA